GUGUGUGCAUAAGAUCAUGCAAGCAUCCAUGCGUCCGUAUCAAUACAAAUGCACGUGUGUGUGUUUGUGCAUGUGUGAGCACAACUGUAUUCACAUGGGUAGGCAAGCACAUUUAUGAUCACUGAAACCAUCCACUGGGUUACUGGCAGUCAAAUCCUGUUGGAGACUUAGUUUGAUUCCUUCACUGCAAACAUGGCAUUUAUGGAGAAAAUGUCCCCCAAGUAACUAGCUCAAGCAAGUACAAUCCACUGUUGCAUAAAUUGCUCUUUGUCUGAUACCUCCAUGGCAAGUGUGAAGAUAGGUCCGAGGAUGAAUGUCACAGGAAAGCCCCUUUUCUCCUGCUGCGUAUUAUGCAUUGUGCCCAGGAAGAAUACCAUUUCCCAGGUACAGACAAAUGGCACAAGCAAGCUUUGCUGCUCUGUCUACAAGACCCAGGCACUAUCCAAGAUGCUGGAAGAGAAUUUUAUCAAAACUCUGUUGCUGACAGGGCUCUUGCUUCAUGGUGCUUCCGAAGACCAUUUGCUUUGCUGGAUUUGCAGAUACAGUAUGAGACUGAACAUCAGGCCACCCGCAGAAGGGAAAUUAAUGGAGUACUGGUGUGAAGGAGAAUGCAAGUGCAUUUAAAGCGAUUGAAGAUGGUCUACUGCUCACAGUCCAGCUGCUCCAUUCCUGGAAUCUUUGUGACAAGGGAGGUGUCCAGGAUGGGAGGUCUCCAUGAUCCCAAGAAUGCUACAAUUGCUUUAGGCCCAAUUCCCCUACGUGGCAGAUUGCUGGGCCGCAGUCACGAGAAAUAGACGUGUCCGAAGCUGGGAAUGGGCGACAGGGGAUGGAUCGCUGGCUGAUUACCUGUUCUGUUCAUUACCUCUCUGGCACCUGGCAUUGGCUACUGUUGGAAGACAGGAUACUGGGCUAGAUGGACCUUUGGUCUGAUCCACUAUGGCUGUUCUUAUGUCACUUCUUCUAGGGCACAAUACAAUAAAUGUAGCCUGUGGGGAAAACUGGAUAAAAGAAAAAUGUGAGGGCAGCACCUGGAAAGCAGCAGUGCAGCUUUUAACUGGAAAGAAGCGCUGCACAGAAGAUUGCCCUGCUCACUAGAUCUGAUUAGAGAUUUAGGAAGAGUGUGUUUCCGGGGUUAGAGCAAGGGAUUGGGUGUCAGGACACCUGUCUUUUCUCAGCUCUGCCACUGCCUUUGUGUGCAACUGUGGAUACAUCUGUGUCACUCAUCUGUAACGUGGGAACAGUAAUGCAUACAUGGUGUAGUUAGUAUAAGAAUCUGAAAGGGCUGGCUAAGAAUAGACUGCCUUCACUACAGGCGUGUUGCAAGUCUAAAUUCACUCAUAUUUAUGUGCUUUGAGAUUCUCAGUUUAAAAAUAGUCUAGAAGUGGGAAUAUGAACCUUUCUUUGAUUUUAACUUUGUAGUCCUUUCUAUCUUUGUAUUUUUCUUCUUACUCAAGUGAAACAGUAAAAAACCUUUUUAAAAAGUUGCUCCCAGGGGCUGAUCUCCUGAUCUCGGUUAUAUAAUUAUAAUGCCAUAGACGCCAUUGGAGAUGCUCCAGAUUUGCACUGUUGCAACUGAGAUCAAGAUCUAGCCCCAGGAUUUCGUAAGAACUGGUAAUCAGCUGCUCUUGCUGCAGAGGAAAGUGCCAGAGCUCCCUAUCCAAAUUCCAUUGACUCAGCUCUGUGAAUGAACCCUAAGGAACUGGUAUAGGCUCACAGUACAGAUAGCCUGGGGCCAACAGUCUAAUCCAUUAGUCAUUAACUAUUGCUCUUAAUAAUGGCUAAUGUCAAGGGAACAUUAAUUACUUGAUCAUUAAAGCAUUAAAAUACGGUGUACAGUUUGUAAUUUUACCAAAUGCACUUUUUAAAAAAAAAUUGCUGCUCUCAAGCUGGUCACAUUCACCAGGAACAUGAACAGAAUUAGUCACCUCUGUGUAGAGAAAGGGUUUUCUUUCUGGUCCAUUUGGAAUGGACUUUUUGUAUCUGCUCUAAAGUACUGAGGAAUAUGAGUUGGAAGAAGGCAUUAAUGGCUGCAGCAAAGCUUCCCGGCAUUAAGUAGCUAAUGAUGAUGGUGGCAACUUUCCUGAGUUUUCAAAAAUUAUUAGUGGCAAGUUCACAAAAUUCAGCAAAACACGAUGAGCGUUUUCUAAAUCAGACUGUUUCCCUUCCCUCACUUUUGCCUUAGGUGAAAAUGUGCUGUAUUGCACCUUGAAAGAGUAUGAGGAAAAAUGAAUUUUUGUGUGCAUCACAAACAUUAGCAUCCCUUGGUCUUUCACUCUUUUAUCCAAAGCAAGACCAGCAAACAUCCAGACAAAAUCAGUCUAAUGUGGUUUUAUAAACGUAAUGGAUAAUGCUAUUUCUAGACAUUCUUGAGUUUGUAGGCUCAUUCAACAUAACUCAAAAAUGUUUGAGAUAACAGAGAUACAAUAGAAAAAGAAAAGGUUUUUUUCCCCUCCCUACUACCUUUUAAACCAAUGUGUACCACAAAGCAAUGAGCAAGACACAGCAAUGCAGUUGCCUGGUACAGACACAGAUAGAGACCAUUUUUUGCUGAGCCAUAGCCUAUAUGCAUCCUCAGAGGUUAGAACCUGUUAUGUCAUGAGUAAGGCUAAGAUUUUGUCAUGGGUAUUUUUAGUAAAAGUCACAGACAGAUCACGGGCAAUAAAGAAAAAUUCACAGAUGCCCGUGACCUGUCCCUAACUUUUACUCAAAAUAUCCAUGACAACAUGGGGAGCUGUGGAGGUCUCUGAAAGUCAUGGAUUCUGUGACUUCAGCAACCUCCAUGACAAAAUCAUAACCUUAGUCAUGAGUAGGGAUAUUGAGGGGCUAUUCCCUCACCUUUUUUUUUGAAAGUUGCCACAGGCUCUUCACUUUGCCCAUGUAAAGUCACCAGAAGUGGUCGGAUAGAGACCUCUCUUCUGUACAGAAGGAUUUUGAUUAUUUAUCUGCCUUGUAGAGUCCUUUUGCUGCAAAAGAAAAAAAGGAAGUAGGAUGAUAACUAGGGAAGUAAACGCAAGCCGAGGGUCUGACCCUGCAAAUCUUUACUAGCACAGGUAGACUUUACUUGGGUGAGUAGCCAAAUUCAGUGGAGACAACUGAUCUGUUUUCAGGCAAACGAAAAAGAAGAUUGAAGUGUCAUAAGGGAACAUUCUUGACUCAAAUCAGCCUCCGAGAGAGGCUUUGACUUCACCACAAGUUUAAUUUUAUAUUUAGCAAACAAAAUUUUGCUCUUACAAUGGAUUUAUAACAAAUAACUGACUAUCUAAGACUCACAUUUAUCCGCCCUACAGGAGAAUAGGGGCUAAAAACCCAGAACCAAAUGCUGAAUGCUUUAGUCACACCUUAGCAGAGUUCACUUAGGUAAAAUAUUAAUUGAAGUCAAUGGGAUUUUGCCUUAGUAACAACUGUAAGAUUUAGUGGUUCCCUUGAAUUUAUUAAGAAUUAGAUUAUUCCAGCAGAGCCACUUCACAAAAGGGAUAAUGAAAAAAAUGACUAAAAAAGGACCUCAGGGUCAGGAGAAUCAGUGACAUGAACAGGGUAGGAAGGUAAGUUUGCUGAUGGUGAGAAGGUAAAGCUGUAAGCAGAAACAAGACAGUGAGAACCCGAUAAAGCAACAGCUGCAUUUCAUUGUGUCUCCUUUUACAAUGUGACUAACAUCUUGCACUUCUGUAUUUGGUAGUGCCUUUUCUUCAGAGGAUCUCAACGGGUUUCUUAUGCACACAUGAAGAAUAUCAGCACCCCUCUGAAGGUAAAUAUUACAGCCAUUUUACAGAUAGGAAAACUGAAGCACAAAGUGGUAGUAACUUUCUCAUGGUCACAUUGCAAGCCACUGGUAGAUCACCCAAGAAGCUUGACUCCCAAUUCUGGAUUCUAAUUACUAGACCACAUCCCAUGCAAUGUUACAUUCUUAGGUUGAGAAUUCAGCCAAUAGGCUGCAUUGGCAAUAUUCAGAUAUUAAUGUAGCAGAAUAUUGGAUAUUUCAGUGGGACCACCAUCAAUUGCAUUUAGAAUUAUGAACUUUUAUUGGCUGGAGAAGGAAAUGCAGCAAGUCCACAGGGACAGAAAAUUUCUAAUACAUUUUGUGGCACUCUGAGUAAGCAAUUCAUCAAUGCCAUCCUGAGCAAUCAGUCAUCCUUGGAAACAAGGAAAUACUUCAGGUUCUGAAUCAAUGUCCCUUCAUGGUGUUGAAUGAGUAGAAAAUAAAUAAUCAUCAUGAAAUUGUGAUGUGCUGGACAGAAAGUGUCCCAGGAUUUAUGAUAAAAUCGACUAUUUGCCUGUCUUAAGGUUUUCUAUAGCAUCCGGGACCUUAGUGUCUACACGCUUAUGUGCUAAAAUACACAUGCUAAUAUUUGGAAUCCUUGUAACAUGUAUAAUUAUCAUAGCAUAUUUUAGGAAUUACACUCAGAAGAUUUUCACCAUCGAAUAUAAGUGACUAACAUCAGACAAAGACUGAAAUUCACAGUACCAGGAGGGCAGGCUCUCUGGUUAUCUGGUCUCAUGUUUAACCUAAAAUGUGUCACACCACAAUAUACCAUUUUUUCCAGGUCUCAGAUAUUUGGGAUUCUUACAGUUCACAUUUCUCUAGUUUUCUGUUUGUUGUAUUUGAGCUGCCUUACUUGCAAAGGAAAUAGAAUGAUAGGUAAAUGCCAUUAAAAUGUCCAGCAAGAAGUUCUUUUAAUCCAAAAAUACUUGCUGUGUUGCUACUGAUUGUACAAUAUAAAGGUUGACAAAAGUAGAUAUUGCACCAGUGCAUAUAUUUUAGGAUUCAGUAAAGGUAGAUGUUCAUUGUUUCUACAUACUCUAAAUGAUAACACAGACUAAUAAUUUUAUGAGCAUAUUUGCUGGGCAGAGUAAAAAUGUUGUGGAGAAAAGGCCCUUCUCUGCUGUGGUAUAAAUGGGAUAUAUGAUGGUAGAAGGUGCAAUAAACUUUCUAUUUUCACGACUUGGGGAUAACAAUGUAUAACCCAUUCAUUGACUGUUUCCACCACUUCCCAUCUCUGUCUAUGGUGCAAAUAUGAUUGAUUUUUAGAGCCCACCAAGGGAAUUAGUUACACAACUCCCGCUGUAAUUAGCAGGAGCUGUGUAAUUAAAUGCCCUAGUUGGCUUUAAAGUCUUGGCCCUUAUACAAAUCUACUACAACUUUCGACACUAAUGAUCCAAAAUGCUUUAAUAAUCUGAUAAGGAUCUGCAGUGUGUUAGAUUAUAGAAGAAUACAGUAGCACUUUUUAAAUAAAGAAGUAUUUUGUACAUUUCCCUGCAGACAAGAAACAAUAAAAAUCUUGGGGCCAAUCCUGCAGUCCUGACUUCUGUAAAACAAAC